GACGAACGCUGGCGGCGUGCUUAACACAUGCAAGUCGAGCGGUAAGGCCCUUUCGGGGGGUACACGAGCGGCGAACGGGUGAGUAACACGUGGGUGACCUGCCCUCAGCUCUGGGAUAAGCCUGGGAAACCGGGUCUAAUACCGGAUAUGACUCCAUGACGCAUGUUGUGGGGGUGGAAAGCCUUGUGCGGCUGAGGAUGGGCCCGCGGCCUAUCAGCUUGUUGGUGGGGUGAUGGCCUACCAAGGCGACGACGGGUAGCCGGCCUGAGAGGGCGACCGGCCACACUGGGACUGAGACACGGCCCAGACUCCUACGGGAGGCAGCAGUGGGGAAUCUUGCGCAAUGGGCGAAAGCCUGACGCAGCGACGCCGCGUGAGGGAUGACGGCCUGUGU
rnacentral:rRNA from 1 species